CAUCCCAGUUCGGAUUGCAGGCUGNAACCCGCCUGUAUGAAGUUGGAAUCGCUGUAAUCGCGGAUCAGCAUGCCGCGGUGAAUACGUUCCCGGGCCUUGUACACACCGCCCGUCACACCAUGAGAGUCGGGAACACCCGAAGUCCGUAGCCUAACCGCAAGGAGGGCGCGGCCGAAGGUGGGUUCGAUAAUUGGGGUGAAGUCGUAACAAGGUAUC
rnacentral:rRNA from 1 species